rnacentral:rRNA from 1 species
UACAGAGGGUGCAAGCGUUAAUCGGAAUUACUGGGCGUAAAGCGUGCGCAGGCGGUGAUGUAAGACAGAUGUGAAAUCCCCGGGCUCAACCUGGGAACUGCAUCUGUGACUGCAUUGCUGGAGUGCGGCAGAGGGGGAUGGAAUUCCGCGUGUAGCAGUGAAAUGCGUAGAUAUGCGGAGGAACACCGAUGGCGAAGGCAAUCCCCUGGGCCUGCACUGACGCUCAUGCACGAAAGCGUGGGGAGCAAACAGG